GGGAAUGUGGCUUAGUGGUAGAGUGCUUGCCUAGCACGCAUGAAGCCCUGGGUUUGAAUCCUUAGCACCA
rfam:Dipodomys ordii contig_63123, whole genome shotgun sequence.